rnacentral:rRNA from 1 species
UACAGAGGUCUCAAGCGUUGUUCGGAUUUACUGGGCGUAAAGGGCGCGUAGGCGGCCACUGCAAGUCGGUUGUGAAAUCUCCGGGCUUAACCCGGAAAGGUCAAUCGAUACUGCAGGGCUAGAGUGCGGAAGGGGCAACUGGAAUUCUCGGUGUAGCGGUGAAAUGCGUAGAUAUCGAGAGGAACACCUGCGGCGAAGGCGGGUUGCUGGGCCGACACUGACGCUGACAGCGCGAAAGCUAGGGGAGCGAACGGG